rnacentral:tRNA from 2 species
GGAGGUGUCGCAUAGUGGCAAUUGCAACUGGCUGUAACCCAGUCCUCUUAUGAGUUCGGUGGUUCGAGUCCGCCCACCUCCA